GCAAGUCGAACGGUAACAGUUCGAGCUUGCUAGAAGAUGACGAGUGGCGGACGGGUGAGUAAUGCUUGGGAACUUGCCUUUGCGAGGGGGAUAACAGUUGGAAACGACUGCUAAUACCGCAUAAUGUCUUCGGACCAAACGGGGCUUCGGCUCCGGCGCAAAGAGAGGCCCAAGUGAGAUUAGCUAGUUGGUAAGGUAACGGCUUACCAAGGCGACGAUCUCUAGCUGUUCUGAGAGGAAGAUCAGCCACACUGGGACUGAGACACGGCCCAGACUCCUACGGGAGGCAGCAGUGGGGAAUAUUGCACAAUGGGGGAAACCCUGAUGCAGCCAUGCCGCGUGUGUGAAGAAGGCCUUCGGGUUGUAAAGCACUUUCAGUUGUGAGGAAAAGUUAGUAGUUAAUACCUGCUAGCCGUGACGUUAACAACAGAAGAAGCACCGGCUAACUCCGUGCCAGCAGCCGCGGUAAUACGGAGGGUGCGAGCGUUAAUCGGAAUUACUGGGCGUAAAGCGCACGCAGGCGGUUUGUUAAGCUAGAUGUGAAAGCCCCGGGCUCAACCUGGGAUGGUCAUUUAGAACUGGCAGACUAGAGUCUUGGAGAGGGGAGUGGAAUUCCAGGUGUAGCGGUGAAAUGCGUAGAUAUCUGGAGGAACAUCAGUGGCGAAGGCGACUCCCUGGCCAAAGACUGACGCUCAUGUGCGAAAGUGUGGGUAGCGAACAGGAUUAGAUACCCU
rnacentral:rRNA from 1 species